rnacentral:rRNA from 1 species
AUGGCCUCCCUCACCGUCUCGCAGACGACACCGGCGGCCGGCAACGCCAACAAGCAGCGCGAGGGCGCGGAGAUCAUCACCGGCGCUGAGGCGUGCUACGAGCACUCCAAGGAGCUCCUCAAGGGGCUGGGGUUCCCGGGCGGGGUGAUGCCGCUGCGCGGGCUGGAAGAGUGCGGGCUGGUGCGGGAGACCGGGUACGUGUGGAUGCGGCAGGGAAAGCCCUACGAGCACCACUUCCGCGCCACGGGCACCCGGGUGCGCUACGACGCCGAGGUGACGGCGUACGUGGAGGAAGGGCGGAUGAAGCGGAUGACCGGGGUCCGGAGCAAGCAGAUGAUGCUCUGGGUGCCCAUCGUGGAGAUGAGCCUCGACGGCGCCGACAAGGUCUACUUCAAGUCCAACGUCGGCAUCGGCCGCUCCUUCCCCGCCGCCGCCUUCGCCGACGAGGACGCCGCUGCUGACGACGCGCCGGCGCCGGCCGGCGCCACCGAGGCCAACGACAAGCAUUGA